AUGGACGCCUUCUCCGGCGCCCCGGUGACCCCUCUCCCCGAGCUAGCUGCUCUCCUGCGUGCUCGCGACGUGAAUGCCCGCUACGAGCUCCUGCAGCCCAUAACCAAGGUCGUGGUGUCGUCGGCGGCCUCGGCGGAGCUGGAACACCGCCUCGUCGCCGUCAUGAUCCACAACUCCACGGUCCUCCUCUCCACCUGCCGACCGGCCGGCGAGACCAACGCGUGCCUAGCGCUGGAUGACUACUUCGAAUUCUGCAUCGCCGACAUCAAGUUCUUUGCAGGGAGGAUCUACGCCGUGUCCAAGAUCGACGAGACGCUCCGCGCCCUCGACCUCAAAAAAGGCCGCCUCCAUGAGAUACCCGCAUCGCCAUCUGGCUUUGAGAUCAUAUCCGGAGUGAGGCCCGAGUUCAUCGCCAUGACAGACGAGCCUCAUAUGCAAAAAGAUCCAUGGCCGUACGGUCACAUCGUUGCCGGGCGGUAUCUAGUCGAAUGUAAUGGCAAGCUACUCAUGGUCAGGCGACUCGGUGGGCUCGCAAACCUUUGA
rnacentral:rRNA from 1 species